rnacentral:rRNA from 1 species
GAUGAACGCUGGCGGCGUGCUUAACACAUGCAAGUCGAACGAUGAACCAGGUGCUUGCACUUGGGGAUUAGUGGCGAACGGGUGAGUAACACGUGAGUAACCUGCCCCUGACUUCAGGAUAAGCCCGGGAAACUGGGUCUAAUACUGGAUAUGACUAUUGACCGCAUGGUUGGUGGUGGAAAGAUUUAUUGGUUGGGGAUGGACUCGCGGCCUAUCAGCUUGUUGGUGAGGUAAUGGCUCACCAAGGCGACGACGGGUAGCCGGCCUGAGAGGGUGACCGGCCACACUGGGACUGAGACACGGCCCAGACUCCUACGGGAGGCAGCAGUGGGGAAUAUUGCACAAUGGGCGAAAGCCUGAUGCAGCGACGCCGCGUGAGGGAUGACGGCCUUCGGGUUGUAAACCUCUUUCAGUAGGGAAGAAGCCGAAAGGUGACGGUACUUGCAGAAGAAGCGCCGGCUAACUACGUGCCAGCAGCCGCGGUAAUACGUAGGGCGCGAGCGUUAUCCGGAUUUAUUGGGCGUAAAGAGCUCGUAGGCGGUUUGUCGCGUCUGCCGUGAAAGACCAGGGCUCAACCCUGGUUCUGCGGUGGGUACGGGCAGACUAGAGUGAUGUAGGGGAGACUGGAAUUCCUGGUGUAGCGGUGAAAUGCGCAGAUAUCAGGAGGAACACCGAUGGCGAAGGCAGGUCUCUGGGCAUUUACUGACGCUGAGGAGCGAAAGCAUGGGGAGCGAACAGGAUUAGAUACCCUGGUAGUCCAUGCCGUAAACGUUGGGCACUAGGUGUGGGGGACAUUCCACGUUUUCCGCGCCGUAGCUAACGCAUUAAGUGCCCCGCCUGGGGAGUACGGCCGCAAGGCUAAAACUCAAAGGAAUUGACGGGGGCCCGCACAAGCGGCGGAGCAUGCGGAUUAAUUCGAUGCAACGCGAAGAACCUUACCAAGGCUUGACAUGUUCCAGACCGCUCCAGAGAUGGGGUUUCCCUUCGGGGCUGGUUCACAGGUGGUGCAUGGUUGUCGUCAGCUCGUGUCGUGAGAUGUUGGGUUAAGUCCCGCAACGAGCGCAACCCUCGUUCCAUGUUGCCAGCACGUAGUGGUGGGGACUCAUGGGAGACUGCCGGGGUCAACUCGGAGGAAGGUGGGGAUGACGUCAAAUCAUCAUGCCCCUUAUGUCUUGGGCUUCACGCAUGCUACAAUGGCCGGUACAAUGGGUUGCGAUACUGUGAGGUAGAGCUAAUCCCUAAAAGCCGGUCUCAGUUCGGAUUGGGGUCUGCAACUCGACCCCAUGAAGUCGGAGUCGCUAGUAAUCGCAGAUCAGCAACGCUGCGGUGAAUACGUUCCCGGGCCUUGUACACACCGCC